rnacentral:rRNA from 1 species
AUUGAACGCUGGCGGCAUGCCUUACACAUGCAAGUCGAACGGCAGCACGGGGGCAACCCUGGUGGCGAGUGGCGAACGGGCGAGUAAUACAUCGGAACGUGCCCAGUAGUGGGGGAUAGCCCGGCGAAAGCCGGAUUAAUACCGCAUACGACCUACGGGUGAAAGCGGGGGAUCGCAAGACCUCGCGCUAUCGGAGCAGCCGAUGUCAGAUUAGGUUGUUGGUGGGGUAAAAGCCUACCAAGCCGACGAUCUGUAGCUGGUCUGAGAGGACGACCAGCCACACUGGGACUGAGACACGGCCCAGACUCCUACGGGAGGCAGCAGUGGGGAAUUUUGGACAAUGGGCGCAAGCCUGAUCCAGCCAUGCCGCGUGCGGGAAGAAGGCCUGGUU